CCCCAAACCAAGGCAAGUCGAACGAGAUCUUCGAAUCUAAUGGUGCACGGGUGCCUAACGCGGAGAAAUCUGCCCCGGGGUACGGAAUACCAGGUUAGGAAGGACUGCUCACACCCGGAUGAAGUCUCCGGACCGAAGGAUUACUCGCCCCAGGGAUGAGCCCGCGUAGGAUUAGCUAGUUGGUGGGGUAAAGGCCUACCAAGGCGACGAUCCAUAGCUGGUCGCAGAGGAUGAUCAGCCACACUGGGACUGAGACACGGCCCAGACUCCUACGGGAGGCAGCAGUGGGGAAUAUUGGACAAUGGGGGCAACCCGGAUCCAGCAAUGCCGCGUGAGUGAUGAAGGCCUUCGGGUCGUAAAGCUCUUUUACCCGGGAUGAUAAUGACAGUGUUAAAAGAGAGGGCCACGCCCAUGAUGAGUUUGCCCUGUCGCGUGAGACACCGUCAUGUGCGAGCACGACAACAUAGUCUAGGGUGUACGUGCAUCAUACCAGUUGUAUUGCU
rnacentral:rRNA from 1 species